GGCGGUCUUGGGGCUGGUGCCCUCCAUCGGCUGCAAACCGAUCGGCGGCCGGCGCUGCCGGCCGGUUGGGUUCGAUUCCCAACGGCCGCCUCCA
rnacentral:sRNA from 2 species